rnacentral:misc_RNA from 1 species
GCCUCCAAACAGUCUUCAUGGUGUCUAAUCAUCAAACUCCUUCAACAUGUUCUUGUAUGGUUCAAUCCUGUUGGAACUGUCAUGGGAUCAGUGUAUAUAGUUCUGAGGAAGUUUGUUAUUUCUAUUUUGUAGUUUAAAUAAAUUACAAUUUAGUUUUAAGAUUUAGUGAAACUUAUAAAUUAGUCCUUGAAUUUUUAAAAUCUACCUAUUUAAUCCUUAAUAUUUUAAUAAACUUAUAGUCCCU